GAGUUUGAUCCUGGCUCAGGACGAACGCUGGCGGCGUGCUUAACACAUGCAAGUCGAACGGAGAUUUAAGAGGAAGCUUGCGAAUCUUAAAUUUUAGUGGCGGACGGGUGAGUAACACGUGGAUAACCUGCCUGUAAGACCGGGACAACACCUGGAAACGGGUGCUAAUACCGGGUAAGCUCUUCAGCCCGCAUGGGCAGAAGAGGAGAGGGGAAACCCGCUUACAGAUGGGUCCGCGGCCCAUUAGCUAGUUGGCGGUGUAACAGACCACCAAGGCGACGAUGGGUAGCCGGCCUGAGAGGGUGACCGGCCACACUGGAACUGAGACACGGUCCAGACUCCUACGGGAGGCAGCAGUGGGGAAUCUUCCGCAAUGGGCGAAAGCCUGACGGAGCAACGCCGCGUGAAUGAUGAAGGCCUUCGGGUUGUAAAAUUCUGUCUUCAGGGAAGAAAAAAAUGACGGUACCUGAGGAGGAAGCCCCGGCUAACUACGUGCC
rnacentral:rRNA from 1 species